GAUGAACGCUGGCGGCGUGCCUAAUACAUGCAAGUCGAGCGAACAGACGAGGAGCUUGCUCCUCUGAUGUUAGCGGCGGACGGGUGAGUAACACGUGGAUAACCUACCUAUAAGACUGGGAUAACUUCGGGAAACCGGAGCUAAUACCGGAUAACAUGUUGAACCGCAUGGUUCAACAGUGAAAGACGGUCUUGCUGUCCCUUAUAGAUGGAUCCGCGCCGCAUUAGCUAGUUGGUAAGGUAACGGCUUACCAAGGCAACGAUGCGUAGCCGACCUGAGAGGGUGAUCGGCCAAACUGGAACUGAGACACGGUCCAGACUCCUACGGGAGGCAGCAGUAGGGAAUCUUCCGCAAUGGGCGAAAGCCUGACGGAGCAACGCCGCGUGAGUGAAGAAGGUCUUCGGAUCGUAAAACUCUGUUAUUAGGGAAGAACAAAUGUGUAAGUAACUAUGCACGUCUUGACGGUACCUAAUCAGAAAGCCACGGCUAACUACGUG
rnacentral:rRNA from 1 species